CGUAACAAGGUCUCCGUUGGUGAACCAGCGGAGGGAUCAUUACCGAGUUAUUCAACUCCCACACCCAUGUGAACCUACCACUUGUUGCCUCGGCAGGGCCCUCCAGCGUCCCCGGACGGUGGCGGCGGCCUGCCGGCGGACCCCCAAACUCUUGUUUUCAGUGGCACUCUGAGUACUAAAAGUUAAUAAUCAAAACUUUCAACAACGGAUCUCUUGGUUCUGGCAUCGAUGAAGAACGCAGCGAAAUGCGAUAAGUAAUGUGAAUUGCAGAAUUCAGUGAAUCAUCGAAUCUUUGAACGCACAUUGCGCCUACUAGUAUUCUGGUAGGCAUGCCUGUUCGAGCGUCAUUUCAACCCUCAAGCCCUGGCUGCUUGGUGUUGGGAGUUUGCCGUCACACGCAACUCCCCAAAGCUAGCUGGCAGAGCUAGGGUAUGCUCUAAGCGUAGUAAACUUCACCGUCUCGCUUCUGUAGCUGCCCUGGCCUCUCGCCAUAAAAGCCCCCCCAAUUUCUCAAUGGUGACCUC
rnacentral:rRNA from 1 species